CCUCUCUCCCUCCUCUCUCCCCUCUCACUUUUCUCUCUCCUCUCACGAUCCUAGGUUACACUUCCUCGCAUCGUCCUUCAUCAAUUGCGGCUCUGAGGUCAAUCGCAAGGAAAUGCAGAGCUCUAUUGGCGUCAGCAAAUUCCUUCACCACCGCGUCAACGAACAGCAGGAAGGAGGAAGGACAUAAGGAUGAACCUCCUGCUGUUUGUGUAUAUACCGUUUGUGAUGAAUCAAAGAAUUAUCCAAUUGCUAAAGGUAAUUGAUUGUGAGGAAUGUUCCAGCACUGGGGUGUGGUGAUGAACUAAGACAACUGCUUGCAAGUUGCAACAUAUGGAGAAGUUGAAGAGUAUGCUUACCCAAUUUCUUUUUAACUCUCUUUUUUAUAAAAUAUUUUAUUGAAUUGCAAUUAAUGUAAAUUGUUUUACUGAUUGAUGACAUUGUGGGGUUAAUUAAGGUUCUUGAUAAUUUUAUUGGUGUGAAGUGUUAUUGACUUGCUUGAAUUGUUCAUUACUAGUAGUAUAAUACGAAUUGAAGUAGAAAUUUAUGGUACUUGAGUCUCAAUGUAAGUGAAAACAUUACAUUGAACUUUUAAGUAAUUUGGUGAUUUUACUGCAUCAACUUAAUUUCAUGUCUUUCUUUAGCUUAAGGAAGUUGAAGAUCUUUUUUAAACUAAAUUGGUGAAUUCUACUUCCACUUGCAACAUUGAGUCUUCCAUUUUGAAUCACAAUUACCUUUUUAAGUCUUAAUCUGUCCAAGCGUGCAAUCAUUUAAUAGGUCUUAUGCAUUUCAGCUACGCAAGUAGUAUGCAGUAUAUAGGCUUUUUCUAUUUUUCUCCCAUGGGCAAUAAUAUGUCCUAAACUGCUUCAGUAAUUGAUUUUAAACUUCAAUAGUUUGCU